UACGUAGGGAGCGAGCGUUGUCCGGAUUCAUUGGGCGUAAAGAGCUCGUAGGCGGCUUGGCAAGUCGGGUGUGAAAACUCCAGCUCAACCUGGAGACGCCACCCGAUACUGCCAUGGCUAGAGUCCGGUAGGGGACCACGGAAUUCCUGGUGUAGCGGUGAAAUGCGUAGAGAUCGGGAGGAACACCAGUGGCGAAGGGCGGCCCAUCGUGGAUCAACACGUGAACG
rnacentral:rRNA from 1 species